UACGUAGGGUGCAAGCGUUGUCCGGAAUUAUUGGGCGUAAAGGGCUCGUAGGCGGUCCGUCACGUCGGGAGUGAAAACUCGAGGCUUAACCUCGAGAUGUCGGCGGAAACCAUCUGGCUAGAGUCCGGAAGAGGAGAGUGGAAUUCCUGGUGUAGCGGUGAAAUGCGCAGAUAUCAGGAAGAACACCCGUGGCGAAGGCGGCUCUCUGGGACGGUACUGACGCUGAGACGCGAAAGCGUGGGGAGCGAACAGG
rnacentral:rRNA from 1 species